GGAUCACUUUUUCUGGGUUAACAGUUUAACUCUUAGUCAUCCUUGAGCAUCAAGUGUCAAAGGGAUGAAUUAUACGAUAACUAUAUCCACAAAGAUUCUAGAGUAUUGCUGGGCAUACAUUCGACGUAUCCAGAUGUCAGAUCCCAUUGCUAGAUGGUUACAUCGAUUAGUACAAAAAUUUUUUUUAUGCUACCGACUU
rnacentral:lncRNA from 1 species